CCAGCCCGCUCAGAAACUCAAAGGAAGUUGACGGGGCCCGCACAAGCGGAGGAGCAUGUGGUUUAAUUCGAUGAUACGCGAGGAACCUUACCUGGGCUCGAACGUAAGAUGACUGUAGGUGAAAGCUUACAUCUCUUCGGAGCAUUUUACGAGGUGCUGCAUGGUUGUCGUCAGCUCGUGCCGUGAGGUGUCGGGUUAAGUCCCAUAACGAGCGCAACCCUACCUUUAGUUGCCAUCAGGUAAUGCUGGGGACUCUAAAGGAACUGCCUACGCAAGUAGUGAGGAAGGCGGGGAUGACGUCAAAUCAGCACGGCCCUUACGUCCAGGGCUACACACGUGCUACAAUGGCCGAUACAGAGGGCAGCUACCUGGUGACAGGAUGCAAAUCUCCAAAGUCGGUCUCAGUUCGGAUCGGAGUCUGCAACCCGACUCCGUGAAGUUGGAUUCGCUAGUAAUCGCGCAUCAGCCAUGGCGCGGUGAAUACGUUCCCGGGCCUU
rnacentral:rRNA from 1 species